UACGUAGGGGGCAAGCGUUGUCCGGAAUGAUUGGGCGUAAAGGGCGCGUAGACGGUAAAGCAAGUCUGGAGUGAAAGUCCUGCUUUUAAGGUGGGAAUUGCUUUGGAUACUGAGAGGCUUGAGUGCAGGAGAGGUUAGUGGAAUUCCUAGUGUAGCGGUGAAAUGCGUAGAUAUUCGGAGGAACACCGGUGGCGAAGGCGGCCAACUGGGCUUUUACUGACGCUGAGGCUCGAAAGUGUGGGGAGCAA
rnacentral:rRNA from 1 species